rnacentral:rRNA from 1 species
AAUAUUGGGCAAUGGGCGAAAGCCUGACCCAGCAACGCCGCGUGAAGGAUGAAGGUCUUCGGAUUGUAAACUUCUUUUAUGAGGGACGAAGGAAUUGACGGUACCUCAUGAAUAAGCCACGGCUAACUACGUGCCAGCAGCCGCGGUAAUACGUAGGUGGCAAGCGUUAUCCGGAUUUACUGGGUGUAAAGGGCGCGUAGGCGGGAGAGCAAGUCAGGUGUGAAAUCCAUGGGCCUAACCCAUAAACUGCAUUUGAAACUGUAUCUCUUGAGUGCUGGAGAGGUAGACGGAAUUCCUUGUGUAGCGGUGAAAUGCGUAGAUAUAAGGAAGAACACCAGUGGCGAAGGCGGUCUACUGGACAGUAACUGACGCUGAGGCGCGAGAGCGUGGGGAGCAAACAGG